rnacentral:rRNA from 1 species
CCUGGCGGCCAUAGCGCCGUGGAACCACCUGAUCCCAUGCCGAACUCAGAAGUGAAACGCGGUAGCGCCGAUGGUAGUGUGGCAUUCGCCAUGCGAGAGUAGGACACGGCCAGGC